rnacentral:rRNA from 1 species
GUUUGAUCCUGGCUCAGAAUCAACGCUGGCGGCGUGCCUCAGACAUGCAAGUCGAACGAUUAAACUCCCCUUCGGGGGAGAUAUAAAGUGGCGCACGGGUGAGUAACACGUAGGUAAUUUGCCUUCGGGUGGGGAAUAACAGCCGGAAACGGCUGCUAAUACCGCAUAAUGCAGCGGCACCACAUGGUGACAGUUGUUAAAGCGGGGGAUCGCAAGACCUCGCGCCUGAAGAGAAGCCUGCGGCAGAUUAGCUAGUUGGUAGGGUAAUGGCCUACCAAGGCUACGAUCUGUAACCGGCCUGAGAGGGCGGUCGGUCACACUGACACUGACAUACGGGUCAGACUCCUACGGGAGGCAGCAGUCGGGAAUUUUGGGCAAUGGGCGAAAGCCUGACCCAGCAACGCCGCGUGAAGGAUGAAAUUUUUCGGAAUGUAAACUUCGCAAGAAUAGGAAGAAUAAGUGGGGGAUAAUACCCCCCAUGAUGACGGUACUAUUUGUAAGCUCCGGCUAACUCCGUGCCAGCAGCCGCGGUAAUACGGGGGGAGCAAGCGUUGUUCGGAUUUACUGGGCGUAAAGGGCGCGUAGGCGGCCACGACAAGUCACUUGUGAAAUCUCCGGGCUUAACUCGGAGCGGUCAAGUGAUACUGUUGGGCUAGAGUGCAGAAGGGGCAACUGGAAUUCUCGGUGUAGCGGUGAAAUGCGUAGAUAUCGAGAGGAACACCUGCGGCGAAGGCGGGUUGCUGGGCUGACACUGACGCUGAGGCGCGAAAGCUAAGGGAGCGAACGGGAUUAGAUACCCCGGUAGUCCUAGCCUUAAACGAUGAAUGCUUGGUGUCUCGGGUUAUAAAGUCCCGGGGUGCCGU